UGAUUAUCAUCAUCUAAUAGGUGAUUUGUAACAGUUUGUUGAUUAUCAUCUGCUAUAAACAAUCAACUUCUACUAGUUUGAUUUGAUUUUGUUGUUUGUUUUUUAUUUUGACCCAACUCUGUGAAUAGUGUAGAGUCAGGGGUUUUAUUUGGAGGAGUAUAAAUUUGUAGAAGCAGAAGAGGAUUUGAAGGUUGAGAAAAAAGAAGAGAAGAUGGAUAAUGGUGAUGGUCUUCUUCAUCUUCUAAACAAGGGUUUAACAGUUCUCUCAAGAAAGCUCAAGAUGACAACUUCCCAGCAAUAUUCUACUUCACUUCUGUCUAGUGUCCUCCAUGGCUCCAUGUUGGGAAGUAGGAACGACACAGGAACAAUGAGCAGUUUAAAAACAUGUCCGUCUGGGAAUGAGUAGGUAGUCUGGGCCAAUGAAGUGGUAGAAUUGUUGACUCUACUAAGCAAAGUAAUUUCUCCCAUCAUUGAAAGUUUGAGCAAGAAAUAUCCACACAUGACGACCUUCAAAGUCGACAUUCAUCAGGAUGAGAGGAACUGAAUAUUAUGUCUGUGCCAACAAUUCACUUCUUUCAAAAUGAGAAAAAGGCUGACGAAACGGUUGUGUGGAAAGGCUUUACAGUACCAAGAACUACUAAUCAGUCGUAUAUCCCCCAAGUUUAAGCUACUAAGGGGUGAUAGAGAUGAGGUAUCACUAUAAUGUCGCUGAUGUGAGGCUUUCUCAGCACAUUGACAAAGGAAAUGAAGAUGGACUAUAUAUCAGUUCUGUAGCUUCUUCUUCAAACCUUUAGGCAUUGACUAUGGACGCUGGUACUGGUUUCAGUUCCCAAGUAUACGAGCUCUCACCCCAUUUUCUUCACAAAAUUCGCCAGCCAAUGAAAAAAGUAUUUAGACUAGAGGAAGAAGUGAGAAUCUUGACGGAUGUUCCAGGCUGGAAGG